UAUGUUGGUAAUCACCGUAAAAAAUAUAAAGUUAUUAACUUUUUGUUGUCUUCUAAGGGGGUGUUUGUUUUUGGUGAGAAGUACUUCAGACCCUCUUAUGUCUUCCUCACGCAGACCACGCGCAGACGUUUGAGUCUGCAACUUAUUUGUUUUUCAGAAGAGGUUUCAUUAAAAAACCUCUUCCCACCUCUUCCCCAAGCAGACAUGUCCUUAUGUCUUCCAACCUCUUCAAAACUCUUCUCCCUCUUCAAAACACCCAUCUUGUCUCAAAACCCUAGCACACCACCUCCACCUCCACUCCGACACCACCUCCUCCGCCGCCCACCCCUGAUCCGCCACCACCUCCACCUCUUCCGCCGCCCACCCCUGCUCCGCCACCACCUCCACUUCCGACACCACCUCCUCCGCCGCCCACCACCUGCUCCAGCCCUGCUCCACCUCCACUCCGCCACUACCUCCACCUCCGACACCCAUCUUCUCCGACACCACCUCCACCUCCGAUUCAAGCACCAUCGGAGCCACCACAUCGAUCUCCAUCUCCUCCUCUGUUCACCUACCAGUUUUUUGAUGACGUGGAAACUGAUGUGGCAUUUGACUUGGUUUUUUUAUGACAUAGCAGCUGAUGUGGCACUUGUUUAGUAUUGUGGCAGCUGAUGUCAGCAAACUGGCUAAUAAAUUGAAAGUUGAAAAUGAUGUGAUACAAAUCAAAAGUUAGGAAUGUUAUUGCCAACUGGUAAGAGUUGAGGUUAUUUAAAUCUAAUAUAUCUUCUAUGUAUCCUGAAUUCGAUGUAUCAAUAUCAGGAUAAUUAAUAUAAUAAAUUUAUUAAAACUACAAGGCUAGUAAAAAUGUUUUUUGCUACAUGACAGAGCACUAUUGGUUGUUUAUUUUUUUCCAUACAUUAGACAAAAAUAUUGUUUAUGUAGGUAUGGAAUUGCUAUUUCGAUGUGUUAUUUGCUUUGGUGAAUUGGUUUCUUUGAAGUUUAUAUACUUCAUCGGCUCUCGUUCAAGUCCUUUUGCCUUCAUUUUUUUUUCUUUUGGAAUCAUCAGUACGUUAACUAAUGUUUAACACGUGUCUCACUACUUCAUCCUUAUUCGUCAACACAUCCUUCCUCAUGUUCCAUACUUCUAUGUAUCAUGAAUUUCAUUUUUUUUCUUUGCAAUCAUCAAUACGUUAAGCAAUGUUUAACAUGUGUCCCACUAUUUUGAUAAGGAUUGAAAUUGAAUGAACUUGAGAUUGAUUAAUCAAUGGUCAAGUUCUAUUAACGUUCAGGAAACUCAAUGGGAAGAAUGAGCUUCGGAAGGUCGUUAAUGGCAGUUGAGAGAGAAUUUAGGAGGGAAACUGAUUAUUAUUUCACAAGAUACCCUAUACUAUUACAACUGUUACUAUUUAUAAUCCCACCCCAACAACCCUAUAACUGACAGCUAACAAUCUUUGUAACAACCGUUCAACUAACUAACGACCCCUGUUGUAACCACCCACCACUAACAACCCCUGCUGCUAACCUCUGUUACUAAUACCCUCUGCUACUGAUCCACUGUUGCUACUAAUCCACUGUUAUUAGUAACCCCUGUUGUACAUUUAUCCACUGAUAACACCUCUAUCCACUGCCCUUUAGCCCACUGAUCAUUUAUCCAUAUCAAUACCCUCCCGAUAACCUGAUCCUUGACCCCAAGGAUCAAAAUUUGGAAAUUUCUGCAUCAUCAACUUAGCAUCUUCCCAAGUUGCAUCUUCCACCCCCACAUUUUUCCAUUAAUCAGCCAUUACACCAACAUUCUAUUGAAUUUUUUAAGAACCCUAGUGUCCACCACACUCUCAGGUUCCUUAACAGUGGUUUGCAGCACUUCCUCAUUAACCACCGCUGUUGAAGUGGGCUCAGGACCAUAAUACUUUUUUAGCAAUGAUACGUGUACUGUAGGAUGAAUAGCAGACCCAGCUGGUAACUGCAACGUGUACGCUACUUCUCCUACCUUAGACAAAAUCAAAUAUGGUCCAAAAUAUUUGGCUGUCAACUUUUGAUUGAGCCGCUGAGUCACUGACUGCUGUCGAUAGUGUUGUAACUUCAAAUAUACCCAGUCUCCUAUUUGGAAACUCCUUUCCGUUCGAUGAGCAUCAGCCAACUGUUUCAUGCGUUGUUGAGACUUCCUCAAAUUUUCUUUCAAAAUAUUAAUCACCUCCUCCCUAAUGACCAAACUUCUAUCCACUGCUUCAUUGUUAUUUUCUCCCGGUAAAUAUGGUAAAUGUAUAGGUGGAUGCUGACCAUAGACGACCUCAAAUGGAGUGCAUCUGAUAGCUGACUGAUAAGUGGUAUUAUACCAAUAUUCUGCCAAGGGUAACCAAUUAGCCCACUCAUGAGGUUUUUCAAAACACAUGCACCUCAAAUAACCCUCCAAGCAUCUGUUUAGCACCUCUGUUUGACCAUCUGUUUGGGGAUGGUAUGAACUAGACAUCUUCUACUCUACCCCUUGCAGUAGCAUCAGUUCCUUCCAAAAAUUGCUAAUAAACACCUUAUCUCGGUCAGAUAUAAUUGAUUUAGGAGGGCCAUGUAACCGAUAUAUGUGAUCCAAAUAUAGCUGAGCCACAUCAACUGCAGUAAAAGGAUGGUGUAAAGCAAUAAAGUGAGCACCCUUGCUUAACCUAUCCACCACCACCAAAAUGACAUCUUUACCCUUGGAUUUAGGCAACCCUUCAACAAAAUCCAUCGCUAUAUCUUCCCAUACCCCUUGAGAAAUUGGGAGAGGUUGUAACAUCCCAGGAUAAGCCACUGUUUCUGACUUACACUGCUGACAAACUAUACAAUUCUUAACAUAAGCUUUCACCUCUUUGUGCAGCUUUGGCCAAUAAAACAAUCUAGCAAUUCUGCUAGUAGUAGCAUGAAUGCCAGAAUGCCCUCCUUGUACUGAAGCAUGCAUCCACUGCAAUAUUUGUUCCCUUAAAGUUGUAGAAUUACUAAUGACCAACUUACCCUUUCUUCUUAAUUCUCCAUUGGACCAGCUAUAAUGACAAUGAGACAUAGGAUUCUGUUGCAGGUCUUGAAUGAUUUUUAACAACUCUCCAUCAUUAGACCAUCCUUCUUUAAUGGCUGCCCAUAUGUCUGUAUGAACAGAUGAUGCUGCUAACUGCAACACUUCCCCAUGAGUCACCCUCGAUAAUGCAUCAGCCACUUUAUUGUCUACACCUUUCUUGUACAUAAUCUCAAAGUUGAAUCCCAUCAAUUUAGAUAACCAUCUCUGCUGGAAAGGUGUGGAAAUCUUACUAUCCAACAAAUAUUUCAGACUAUGUUGGUCUGUCUUGAUCACAAAAUGAGCAUGAGCCAAAUAUGGUUGCCAUUUUUGGACAGCAUAUAUGAUGGCCAACAAUUCUCUCUCGUAAGUGGACAAAGACAUAUGUCUUGGAGACAAGGCCUUACUGAUAUAAGCGAUAGGAUGACCCUUUUGCAUUAGAACAGCACCUAUUCCGAACCCUGAUGCAUCUGUUUCCACCACAAAUGUUUCUUUAAAAUCUGGUAAUGCCAAUACAAGAGGUUGACUCAUACUCUCCUUCAAAUGUUCAAAAGCAUGUUGAGCAUCCGAAGACCAUCGAAAGGAGUCUUUUUUAAGCAAUUGAGUUAAGGGUUUGGUGAUGCUACUAUACCCUUUCACAAAUCUUCUAUAAUAACCAGUGAGUCCCAAAAAUCCCCUCAAUUCUUUGAUGUUGGUGGGUACAGGCCAUUGUUGUAUUGCAUAUACUUUUGCUAGAUUAGUUGCCACUCUUUGUUGAGAUAUUAUAUUACCCAAAUACUCCAGCUUAGUGGCUCCAAAUUCACACUUGCUUCUUUUGGCUACCAACUGAUGUUGUCUUAACACCAAUAGAACAUCUUUUAAAUGAGAUAAAUGAGUAUCCCAACAAGGACUAUACACCAAUAUAUCAUCAAAGAAAACCAGUACAUACUUCCUCAGAUAUUGUUUAAAAACCUGGUUCAUUAAACCUUGAAAGGUAGAUGGUGCAUUAGUCAGCCCAAAAGGCAUGACCAUAAACUCAAAAUGACCAUUAUGAGUUUUAAAUGUUGUUUUAUGGAUGUCUGCAUCAUCCAUUCUGAUCUGAUGGUACCUAGACUUGAGAUCCAAUUUAGAGAAAAAUUUUGUACCAUAUAAUUCAUCCAUCAAAUCUUCCACCAAUGGAAUAGGAAACCUGUCGGGAAUUGUAGCCUGAUUCAGUUUCCUAUAAUCUAUACACAUCCUCCAUGUACCAUCUUUUUUCUUGACUAGAACCACUGGUGAAACAAAAGAACUGGUACUGGACCGAAUUACCCCUUGUUCUAACAAAUCAUUAGUCAUUUUUUCUAUCACAUCCUUUUGCACCACAGGAUAUCUAUAAGGCCUUAAAUUCACCCCAUCAGUUCCUUGUUUCAAUGGAAUUCUGUGAUCAUACUGGCCCCUAGAUGGUGGUAAAGACUUUAAGUCUUGGAAGACAUCCUUGAAAUCCUCUAACAGCUUUUGUAGCUGCUGUUGUUGUUCUUUGGAUUGCUGAGUUUUCUGCAGUACCAUUGAAGUAUUUGUACUAUACCCUUCAAUGGCACAUACCUGCACCAUAGACAAUUCAGCUCUCUGUAACUCCAUUUUCUUCAAGCUACCCUUAGUAAUUUGAGAAAAUUUCCUCCCAUAUUGCCCCCUCAAAACUACUUUCUGACCAUUGAACUUGAAAGCAAUGGUUCUAUCAUUAUAAUUCAUCUUGAUGCUUCCUAAGGUUGUAAACCAUUGAACCCCCAAAACCAAAUCACAACCCCCCAAGGGCAUUACAUACACAUCCGCUGUGAAUUGAAUUCCUUGCAUGAUCCAAGAAAAUCCUUUCACCAUUUGAUCACAAAUUUCUUCAUGACCAUUUGCCACUUUUACUAACAUAGUUGGGCCCUUAACCAUCUUACACCCCAAUUGUUUGGCUAAUGCAAUAUCCAGAAAAUUAUGUGAACUUCCAGUAUCCAUUAACAAAUGUAAUUCAUGUUUUCCAUAAUGACCCG